rnacentral:rRNA from 1 species
AUGGCCGUGGACGACACGGAACCCUCUUCUUCGCCAGCACUAGCGGCGUCAGGAGCGGUGAAGGCCAGCAGCUGCGGACGCCGUACGACCACGGCCCGGCACAGGCAGCCAUCUCCGGCCAUGUCACGCCCAGCCCUGCAACACCACGUCAGCAGGGCAUCGAGUUCAAUGGCGAUGAUUGUCUCAAGGUUGGAGCUGGAGUCCAACUCUGAGCUCCAGGGGAGCGACCAGCUCGUGGUCGUGGUGUCUAAUUGCUGCAGAUGCUGCAUUGCAUUCUAUUGUGGGAGAACAAGAAGGAACUGCAGACCAAAUUGGAAGACAACAGGUCUAUCCUCUGAAUUUUUUUUAUUUGUACCAAAUCUUAAUAAUUUGAGAUGCGUAAAUGUUAUGUCUUGGUUUAAACGCCAGUUGCAUGUUGAUAUAUAG